CCUUGCCAGCCCGCUCAGAACUUAAUGAAUUGACGGGGCCGCACAAGCGGAGGAGCAUGUGGUUAAUUCGAUGAUACGCGAGGAACCUUACCUGGGCUCGAACGUAAGAUGACUGUAGGUGAAAGCUUACAUCUCUUCGGAGCAUUUUACGAGGUGCUGCAUGGUUGUCGUCAGCUCGUGCCGUGAGGUGUCGGGUUAAGUCCCAUAACGAGCGCAACCCCUACCUUUAGUUGCCAUCAGGUUAAGCUGGGGACUCUAAAGGAACUGCCUACGCAAGUAGUGAGGAAGGCGGGGAUGACGUCAAAUCAGCACGGCCCUUACGUCCAGGGCUACACACGUGCUACAAUGGCCGAUACAGAGGGCAGCUACCUGGUGACAGGAUGCAAAUCUCCAAAGUCGGUCUCAGUUCGGAUCGGAGUCUGCAACCCGACUCCGUGAAGUUGGAUUCGCUAGUAAUCGCGCAUCAGCCAUGGCGCGGUGAAUACGUUCCCGGGCCUU
rnacentral:rRNA from 1 species